rnacentral:rRNA from 1 species
ACGAAGGUCCCAAGCGUUGUUCGGAAUAACUGGGCGUAAAGCGUGCGUAGGCGGCAUGGUAAGUCAGAUGUGAAAUCUCCAGGCUCAACCUGGAAACUGCAUCCGAUACUGCCAUGCUAGAGUAAUGGAGGGGUGACUGGAAUUCUCGGUGUAGCAGUGAAAUGCGUAGAUAUCGAGAGGAACACUCGUGGCGAAGGCGAGUCACUGGACAUUUACUGACGCUGAGGCACGAAGGCUAGGGUAGCGAAAGGG